AGUGAACGCUGGCGGUAGGCCUAACACAUGCAAGUCGAACGGCAGCACAGUAAGAGCUUGCUCUUACGGGUGGCGAGUGGCGGACGGGUGAGGAAUACAUCGGAAUCUACUUUUUCGUGGGGGAUAACGUAGGGAAACUUACGCUAAUACCGCAUACGACCUACGGCUGAAAGCAGGGGAUCUUCGGACCUUGCGCGAUUGAAUGAGCCGAUGUCGGAUUAGCUAGUUGGCGAGGUAAAGGCCCACCAAGGCAACGAUCCGUAGCCGACCUGAGAGGAUGGGCGGCCACAGGGGAACUGAGACACGGUCCAGACUCCUACGGGAGGCAGCAGUAGGGAAUGUGCAGCAAUGGGCGAAAGCCUGACGGAGCAACGCCGAGGGAGUGAUGAAGGUCUUCGGAUCGUAAAACUCUGUUAUUAGGGAAGAACAAAUGUGGAAGUAACUAUGCACGUCUUGACGGUAACUAAGAAGAAAGCCACGGCUAACUACGUG
rnacentral:rRNA from 1 species